ACUUGUGCAGCAGGCACGGGGGGUUAUCAGAAUCUCGGAUCUCCACAGCAACCCUCCCACAGCACCGCGCGCAUCAGGCACAAGCCAAUGCUCGCCUAUCUGCUGAAUGGAAUGAGCAAUUAGAGGGUGGAAUAUUAUUGCGAUCUUAACGAGGCUCGUUAAAGCUAAAGGAGAUAUGUAGACUGGAGAUGCUCGGGGAGGGAGGGAGGCAGAGGGAGCUUUAAAUGGGUGACAAAUGGACAACCAGUGACUGCUACACGGGAAUACACGUUUUAAAUAGAAGCGGGUCCACUUGCACAUUAUUUUCGUAUAGUUUUUUUCCCCCCCUCUAGUUACUUUUUAAUCUUUUUUUAUCAGUCUAUUCAUAUUCUGUGAAUGGGUGAGCGGUGAGCGGGAGAGCAGUAUAGUCUAUUCUGCGCUUUUCCUACUGUAUAUUAUCACUUUCCAUUCUCUUGCUUUCUAAAAGAUGACAUUAUGACAGUCCUUUAAUCCUUUGGCUUUUUCCCUGGAUCUGCAUGAGAUUAAAGAAAAUGAGAUUUUUUAUUCCAAAGUCUGAGCAUGACUUACUUGUCUCGUGCACGCUGCUGUGUGGUCACUGUCUCUGUGUUGGUUUAGUUGCUGUGACUGCAGUGUGAUGCCGCUGCUCCCCCUCCUGCUGUCCCCGGCCUUUCCUCUGGGACACCGGGCUGAGCUCUGGCCUGCUGCCCACCGCCACUUCUCCAAAAGAUAUUUUGUUUCAAAUGAAUAUCGUUGUGAAACAUCGCAGGGAUGUGUUGAUUAAACACAUAUCAUGGCGGUUUAGUUUAAAUAGUCCAGCCCUCUAAUUAUUACAACUGGUGUUGGAAUUACAUUGGAAUUGUGUCAUGGACUCGGGACAUAAAUGUAGUUCUCAUGUAUUUGAUCUUGUGGUGAGGACAUGAUCAUUGUCCACAUCCAGUCACAGGACUCGGCUUACAGCGGUAGCCACGGCGGUGUGAUUUUAAUGUUUAUGGCUCAACCGGCUUCAUAUUUAGACAGAGCUUACAGGGUGUUAAAAUAGUGUGAGUUCACUCUCACACGAACAGUGCCCACAUUGUGAAAAGGCCGUGUACAAGGCGUAGCAUCUAGACUCCACUUAAUCCGCCCUCAGUAAAGCUGACAUAAUGAUCCUAAGCCGCCUUUUUACAAAAUCAUUCAGGAAUUCAAAACUUUUCUUUCCCUUUUUUUCAGAUUUGCACAUUCUCUGGGGCCGGACUGAUGGACCGGCGACUCCAGGCUUGGAGCGACAUGAGAUGAGCAAAUAAACAAAGCUGGAUGUUACGUCAUGGACGAGAGAGAGAGAGGGAGAGAGAGAGAGAGAGAGAGAGGACCGGAUGAGAUGGAAGAAAGAAAAAGGUGUUGGCUGUAAAAGGUAAGAGCGGAAGAAAUGGACGGCACGAAAGAAGGGGUCUUGUAUUUUUAUUAUUAUAAUUUUUUAUUUAUUUAUUUAAUUUGAUUUUUUUUCUGUUUGCUCCCUCGUUGACCCCACGUCUGGCAGAGGCUGGUCAGAAAAGGCACCUCCUGCAGUCACAGUAGAGACUCCUGCGCCUGCUGCUCCAUCCUGAUUCACCGCAGCAGACUUUGGAGAGAUGAUGGAAAUGUGAGCAGGUCUCGGUCCACGCUCUGUCACGGACCAUUCCAGCUCGAGACACUGGUCCAUUCACUGGUCCAUUCACUGCAGGUCAAUAUGUCCAAUCAAGACCAGGAGUAAAAUCCAGCACCUGCUUCUAUUCUGACGUUACUCCGCUCGAUUGCCAGUUUACCCCCAAGUCAAGUCAAGUCUAAGGCGAGCGUGAAGUGUAAAAGAGAGCACCCAGCGUCCAUGUCUUUUUGUGAUUGCCCAGCGAACAUGAUGGUUUUCAUUCUUUCGACCCCUCCACGACCAGCACGCCGCCGCCUCCUUGUCCCACCCAAACUGCGCCACACAAUGCCGCAGUGUGCGUGUGCGCCCUGGUCCGUGUGGGCUAAAAUGUCGUGCAGAGGUAAUGGGAAGUAGUCGGAAGGUAAGGUCGCGGGUUCACGGCGGGGUUACAGAGACCUGACCGUGGCUCCUGUUUGGGUUUUUUUUCUUUCUUCACAACUCCACUUCCUUCCUACAGGAGGAUGUGUCCAGUGCGCCAUCGUCCUCGCCCCGCAGCAUCCCCGUCACAGCCAGACUCUGUUUGUUUUUCUGAGUUUAUUAAAUCUUCCCCCGGCAGGAAAAGCACCAGUAACACCACGUCACUGUGGCUGGUGAGUUAAGCACUCUGCAUCCCACCCUGAGAAAUCUUUUGUGUUUGUGUAGGCUACAUGUGAAGUCUGCUGUCUAUUUUUACCCCGCGCUGGCUGACUGUUCCAGGCGGGUCCAGUUUAUCCAGACUUUUUCACCCCCGAGCUCUUUUCAAGGUUUUAUAUUCAAACGACCACAGUAGAUUGUGUUUUUUUCUAAUUUCAAAGCAAAUAAUGAAAUAUCUUAAUUAUAAGGAUCUAAAUGCUCAAAAUCAUGAACUGCCAAUUUUGAGUUACCAUAUUUUAAUUUAGGCCUCCACUCCUACAUGCCCUUUGUUUAGAAACUGUUUGACUGCAACUGUGUGUUUUUUUUUUUGUUUUUUUUUUUCAACUUCUCCAGGAUUAACAAAUCCCCCCCCAUGAAUCUAUAAUAUUCAGGUGUAUUUGUAUGAGAGUGACAUAAGGGAAACAGACCUAAAUUAUGUUGUUUUUUCUUUACUAGAGAUUAUUAUUAUCCCAUUAUAGGGAGACCUUCUUUCAGGUCAUGUGGGUUUGCCACCAUUUUAUUUGCCACUGCAUUAUUGUCUUACAGUGGCAGAAUAACGGUAUUUUCCUUUAGAUUAAUCUUUUAAGAAGAAGCCAAGUGAAGUAUGAAUCAUUAAGGGAGUUCUAUAUGUUAGAAAUAUAGAUGUCUUUAGUCAGAUUGAUUUUAAUAUUAAGUUAGACUGCAGAGUCAAAGAUUGUUUGAAAUUCAUGGAAUAAAAUUAGUUUUUUCACCAA